ACUAGCAUGGCAUAGUGGUUUGAGUGUCAGACUGUGAUGCUGGAGACCAGGGUUCGAUUCCUGGGUUGGCU